rnacentral:rRNA from 1 species
AUCAACUUUCGAUGGUAGGAUAGAGGCCUACCAUGGUGGUGACGGGUGACGGAGAAUUAGGGUUCGAUUCCGGAGAGGGAGCCUGAGAAACGGCUACCACAUCCAAGGAAGGCAGCAGGCGCGCAAGUUACCCAAUCCUGACACGGGGAGGUAGUGACAAUAAAUAACAAUACCGGGCUCUUUGAGUCUGGUAAUUGGAAUGAGUACAAUCUAAACCCCUUAACGAGUACCCAUUGGAGGGCAAGUCUGGUGCCAGCAGCCGCGGUAAUUCCAGCUCCAAUAGCGUAUAUUAAAGUUGUUGCAGUUAAAAAGCUCGUAGUUGAAUUUCGGGAUCAAGGAAUCGGUCAUGCCUCGGUAUGUACUGGUUUUAUUGGUUCUCACCUUCUAAAGAACCAUAAUGUCAUUCAUUUGAUGUUAUGGGGGAUUAGGACUGUUACCUUGAAAAAAUUAGAGUGUUUAAAGCAGGCUUACGCUUGAAUACAUUAGCAUGGAGUAAUGAAAUAGGACAUCAGAUUCUAUUUUGUUGGUUUCUAGGAUCGAUGUAAUGAUUAAUAGGGAUAGUUGGGGGCAUUAGUAUUCAAUUGUCAGAGGUGAAAUUCUUGGAUUUAUUGAAGACUAACUACUGCGAAAGCAUUUGCCAAGGAUGUUUUCAUUAAUCAAGAACGAAAGUUAGGGGAUCGAAGACGAUCAGAUACCGUCGUAGUCUUAACCAUAAACUAUGCCGACUAGGGAUCGGAUGAUGUUAAUUUUAUAAUGACUCAUUCGGCACCUUACGGGAAACCAAAGUGUUUGGGUUC